GAUGAACGCUGGCGGCGUGCCUAAUACAUGCAAGUCGAGCGAACAGAUGAGGAGCUUGCUCCUCUGACGUUAGCGGCGGACGGGUGAGUAACACGUGGAUAACCUACCUAUAAGACUGGGAUAACUUCGGGAAACCGGAGCUAAUACCGGAUAAUAUAUUGAACCGCAUGUUUCAAUAGUGAAAGACGGUUUUGCUGUCACUUAUAGAUGGAUCCGCGCCGCAUUAGCUAGUUGGUAAGGUAACGGCUUACCAAGGCACCGAUGCGUAGCCGACCUGAGAGGGUGAUCGGCCACACUGGAACUGAGACACGGUCCAGACUCCUACGGGAGGCAGCAGUAGGGAAUCUUCCGCAAUGGGCGAAAGCCUGACGGAGCAACGCCGCGUGAGUGAUGAAGGUCUUCGGAUCGUAAAACUCUGUUAUUAGGGAAGAACAAAUGUGUAAGUAACUAUGCACGUCUUGACGGUACCUAAUCAGAAAGCCACGGCUAACUACGUG
rnacentral:rRNA from 1 species